rnacentral:lncRNA from 1 species
GCCCGUUUUGGCAAAUAGAUUAGUAUACUAACAUAGACAAUCCAGAAGAUUUAUUUCUUGUGGAUUGUCUAUGAUUAGCCCAAUAAUUUUGCAUUGUUCAUUGUUGAAAGAAUGUUUUAAUGACAGAAAUGUAUUCAAAAAUUUUAACCCAUCCAUAACUACAAAUGUACAGAAAGUCUUGUAAAAACAAAUAACAUUAAAUGUACAGUUGACAUAUUGUCUUCAUAAUAUGAGCUAUAUUAUUCUUGACUAAUAAUGCCGAUGUUUCUAUGGUGAAACUGGAUAUGAAGAGGUUUUGUGUUUGGUUGGCUAUGACUGAUUCGUUCUUUAGAAAAUCUAGACUGUACCUGCAAACACGUAGUAAGCCAAUCACAAAACACAUUCAUUUCAUAAGAUGGUGAGAUAGGCAUGG